rnacentral:lncRNA from 1 species
AGACUCAAGGAGCUGUCUCCAGUGUUUGUCACGACCUGGCAGCCUGCUCUCCCCUCAAGGACCUGUGACCUCUUGAAGAAUCCUAAAUUCUAGCUUGAGGAAAACUAUUUUAGGCCUUUGCCUUCUAGAAAUGGGACUCAAUUAACAAAAGGAAGAAGAUAGAUCCUCUGGGACAAAUAUCAAAAAAGAA